AUUCCCAGAAAAGGGGGAUAGGCGUCGACAUUUACCAAGGAAUUCAAUGCCUUCAAAAGAGAAGGCCAGGAUCGACAUUCCGAAGGAAAGCAUGUUCGACAUUCCCAGGAAAAAGGGGAUAGGCGUCGACAUUUGACAAGGAAUUCGAAACCUUCAAAAGAGAAGGUCAGGAUCGACAUUCCACACUACUCUAAUCGACAUCCUCAGAAAAAGGUGGGAUCGACAUUUUUGG
rnacentral:lncRNA from 1 species